rnacentral:rRNA from 1 species
UGGGGAAUAUUGCACAAUGGGCGCAAGCCUGAUGCAGCCAUGCCGCGUGUAUGAAGAAGGCCUUCGGGUUGUAAAGUACUUUCAGUCGGGAGGAAGGUGGUAAGGUUAAUAACCUUAUCAAUUGACGUUACCGACAGAAGAAGCACCGGCUAACUCCGUGCCAGCAGCCGCGGUAAUACGGAGGGUGCAAGCGUUAAUCGGAAUUACUGGGCGUAAAGCGCACGCAGGCGGUCUGUCAAGUCGGAUGUGAAAUCCCCGGGCUCAACCUGGGAACUGCAUUCGAAACUGGCAGGCUAGAGUCGUGUAGAGGGGGGUAGAAUUCCAGGUGUAGCGGGGAAAAGCGUAGAGAUCUGGAGGAAUACCGGUGGCGAAAGCGGCCCCCUGGACAAAGACUGACGCUCAGGUGCGAAAGCGUGGGGAGCAAACAGG